AGUAUUGUCUCGAUUCUACUGUAUUGUAUGCACGCACGCACGCACGCACGCACAAGAGAUGAUGUGUUCCCGGUGCAUAUUUCAUUCAGCGUCAUCGUCAUGGUCUCCCGGCUGCUGCUGCAGCCACGAACAACUCCCCAUCUCGCCACGUCUCUGUCUUUGAAGGUAGUUCGUCUCUGUCUUUGAAGGUAGUUCGUCUCUGUCUUUGAAGGUAGUUGUCUCUGCGUUUGAAGGUAGUUCGUCUCUGCUUUUAAAGGUAGUCCGUCUCUGCUUUUGAAGGUAGUUCGUCUCUGCGUUUGAAGGUAGUUCGUCUUUUCUUUUGAAGAUAGUUGUCUCUGCUUUUGAAGGUAGUUGUCUCUGCUUUUGAAGGUAGUUUCCUCCCCUCCCCACCACCCAGACAC